rnacentral:rRNA from 1 species
UACGGGGGGAGCAAGCGUUGUUCGGAUUUACUGGGCGUAAAGGGCGCGUAGGCGGCCAGUGCAAGUCAGUUGUGAAAUCUCCGAGCUUAACUCGGAAAGGUCAACUGAUACUGCUCGGCUAGAGUGCGGAAGGGGCAACUGGAAUUCUUGGUGUAGCGGUGAAAUGCGUAGAUAUCAAGAGGAACACCUGCGGCGAAGGCGGGUUGCUGGGCCGACACUGACGCUGAAGCGCGAAAGCUAGGGGAGCGAACGGG